rnacentral:rRNA from 1 species
GAUGAACGCUGGCGGCGUGCUUAACACAUGCAAGUCGAACGGAAAGGCUCCUGCUUGCAGGGGUACUCGAGUGGCGAACGGGUGAGUAACACGUGGGUGAUCUGCCCUGCACUUCGGGAUAAGCCUGGGAAACUGGGUAUAAUACCGGCUAGGACGAUGGUUAGGAUGCCAUUGUGGAAAGUUUGUCGGUGUGGGAUGCGCUCGCGGCCUCUCAGCUUGUUGGUGGGGUAAUGGCCUACCAAGGCGUCGACGGGUAGCCGGCCUGAGAGGGUGUACGGCCACAUUGGGACUGAGAUACGGGCCGGACUGCUACGGGAGGCAGCAGUGAGGAAUAGUGCACAAUGGGCGGAAGCCUGAUGCAGCGACGCCGCGUGGGGGAUGACGGCCUUCGGGUUGUAAACUCCUUUCGUCAGGGACGAAGCGAGAGUGACGGUACCGGGAUAAGAAGCACCGGCUAACUACGUG